rnacentral:rRNA from 1 species
UACAGAGGUGGCAAGCGUUGUUCGGAAUUACUGGGCGUAAAGGGCGCGUAGGCGGCCUUGUAAGUCCUGUGUGAAAUCCCCCGGCUCAACUGGGGAACUGCACAGGAGACUGCUUGGCUUGAGUUCGGGAGAGGGAAGCGGAAUUCCGGGUGUAGCGGUGAAAUGCGUAGAUAUCCGGAGGAACACCGGUGGCGAAGGCAGCCAUCUGGACCGACACUGACGCUGAGGCGCGAAAGCGUGGGGAGCAAACAGG